GGUGGAGGGAGGGGGGGAAGAAACCAGAGGCGAGCAGACUUCACGGGGGCCUGGGGGCGCGGGGGAGGAGGGAGUGCAAGGGCUUCCUCUCCUCUCAUAAGCAGUGCAGUUUGUAAAACACAGAUGUAAUUGUCCUUUGGAACACAUGUAUGCAGGAUGGGGAGGGGGGGGGGGGGAGACAGCGAGUGUAGCUCAUCAGCUCAAGCGCAGAGCUGCAUCCCCAACAGCCUGGCUCUCUGCACAUCUGUUUCAUGGGCUCUUUUUGUCACCAGAAAAAAAUAGCAAAAGCUUUCUUGUUCAGCACGGGCUGCUCCAGCACUGCACAGGCACAACUCGCAUGCUUGGUGCUGUGGGGUUUCCCCGGAUCCUUGGGGUCAGGUCCUGGCUUUAGCCCAGCCUCACACCUUGCAGCCUUGUUGGAUCUGGAGCAGCCAAGCCCAGCUCCUGUGCUGGUUCCAGGCACAUCUGGGAGGCUGAACAUGGAAGAGAAAAGCAAGAGCAUGUCUUGCAUACACAAAGGCUGCCUUCAAGUCCUCAGUCUUAGAAUUAUUAAGAUUGGAGAAGACCGCUAAGAUCAUCUCAUCCAACCGUGCAACCAUGCCAGAGGCUUGUCAGUCCUGCCCAGACUGCUAUGGCAUCUCAUGGCACCAUCAGGUGUGGAAAGGAAAAGAAGGCAGCAAGGGUGUACUGUGAACAUGUUUCCUUAUGAGCUCCCAAGUCGUCAUGUCAACUCUGAACUGGAGGUGGUUACCUGCCGCUUCCCACAGAGGGCAAGAUACCACUGAUCAACCUUGGGAGGGAGAACUGCGGCCUGGUGUGCUGCACUUCAGAGAUUGCUGACACCCAGCCCAUGCUACUGAGGUUCUGCUUCUAAGCACAGACUGGAUGUGAGUAUUAUUUGUUCACUGCUAACUAGGCUGGUAGUGAGGCUGUGAGGCAGGAGCAAAGCUACUAACAAAGCAGUGUGGUUCUGGAUGGUGCUGGGCAUUGCGAAACAGUGAUGUACUGAACAUGUCUCUCAAAGCAAAGCACCGGCUGCAGUCACAGAGCACACAUGGCCUCCUUCUGAGCUACGUUCCCUUGCAUGGUAUGGCCUUUUAAAAUGUGCCAGAGGGAUCAAGUACAAGCAGCACGCACAUCAGAAGCAUGACACACCAGAACAACAAAACACUCCCAAAGAAAACGGGAAAUGCUGUAGAAUUCAUUGAAAAUGUCCCCAGGCCCCCUUAACUUUCAUGCCAGGACCUAUUAUUUUUAAUGUUACUAAAAGCUGGUCAUAAACAGUGGCACGACACCAGGUCAAUGCAAGUAGGGACAGAAGAAAUGCAAACAGUAACAAAGCGCAGAUUUCCACAAUCUCUUUAUCUAUCUAUCUAUCUAUCUAUCUAUCUAUCUAUCUAUCUAUCUAUCUAUCUAUCUACUUUGAUAGAACAUAUUGCAGCCAUAGAGAAAAUGCCACCAAAGACAGGCAGGUACUGGGUACAUGCAUCAUCUUGCAGCCAUUCCUCAAGCUGAAAGGGUCCUGAGCAUGCUGGAAGAAAAUGGGAAGCAAAAGACUGUGAGGAGUCAUACAAGCCUUUCUCCUGCACCAGGGCCACCCCAAAGGGUCAGUGCUACUAAGGUUUUUGUGGCCAACAUUUUUGCCAAUGUGGAGGGGAGAAGUGGGAACUUUUCCCCCAUCGAGCUGUGUGAAUAACACCCAGAGAAUGAUGCAGAUAGAUCUGUGGGGUAGGAGGAUGGUUUUGCCUUUCCCCUGUGAUGUGCCCACUCCCUGUGUCCCAUUUGGACCUGCCUGCCCCCUCUGGGCUGGGAUCCUGGCACACAGUCCAAAUACCUCUGUGUAGAUGUAGAUUUGGUGUUUUGAACAAAGAACCAGUGUAACACUGCAGAACUGCUAUGGGAGAGCAUGGCCCUCCAUGCAAACCACUUGGACUUUGCAAAACCAGCCCCCCACCAGGGCUCCCUCCUCUGCUGUCCCCCUCCACGCCCCUCUGGGAACAGCCUGGCAGGGGGGAGGAAGGGGUUAAAAAAGCCCUUGGGCCUGGACGACCCAUCUGCCACCUCAUCUCGUGUGACACCAGUCAUGCGAUGGGGGGGCGGAGGGCAGGGAGCAGCUCUCUUUCUCUCCUGUUUGCUGAACCUCUGAUUAUCAUUUCUGUGCCGGCAAGGAGGUGGCAUGCCAUUGUGCGUCAGCUGGGAGAGCCUGCUGAAAGGGGGGCUUCUCCCUUUCUUAAAGGAGACGGCCCUUUCUAAUCCUCCCUGCUUGGAGGAAUCACCCUCCUCCCCAAGAGCCUUCCUUUAUUGAGAGGAAAGGCCCCUUGGUAGCUCCAGCCCACCCAGCCAUCCCAGCUCCAGCCCUCAGGGCACUGGUCAGAGCCUCCCAGGGAUGCUGGACAGGGGAUGCUCAGGAAUGCUGCCUCCAGGAACAGGGACUGGGGAGCCUCAGCCUUCUGCAGAAGCUCUCUGACAGAGAGGCCAAUUAGCAACAAUUACAGCACUGGGUUUAGUGCAAUAGAGAUGCUUGGCCACGAGGAGCUGGUCCAAGCUCCUCACCUCGUUUCACAUAGGCAGCAGCAAUCAGAUGGUAAUAACCGUGGGUCACUAGAAGGUGACCUCGAGGUGAAAGGCUCCAUAUCCCAUUACUAGUUUACUGAGCUAGCAGCCUAACACAUCUCUCCAGGGCUUUGAAUCAGAAAAUGGUAUUGAAACCCUCUGAGAAUGUCCCUGCUGGCUGGUGUUUAGCAUUGUGCAUUUCCCAGCAGAUAUGUGGGAACUGUAAUUAAAAUCCUCCAUGACUACUGAGCACUGGGACCUUGCCAUUAGUGUUAUGUGACUGGGCAGGAAUUUAUUGAUUUCUUUCUUGCUCUGUGCAUGCUUUACAGCAGAUGCCAGCUCUGAUUUUUCUGCUGUUUUAUUAUGUCUUUGUACUCUCACCAUUACGCUUUCCAUUAGCAUCUGCUGGUAUUCCGUGGUGUGAGGAAAGGCUUUGAAUAAGAAGGAUCGUUCCUGCUCCCAUCUCUGUUGGUCCUGUUUGCAUCCAACAGCACCAACAAUCCAGCUGGGUCAUUUAUCCCACCCAGGCCCUGCAGUGCUACUUUGAUCUCUUGCAACACCCAUUCCAGCUGCUCUUUUUUAUUCUCCAUCCUCACAGGGUUCAAGAAAGUGUUCUCUUCUUCAUGGCCAUUUGUGCCAUGAUGGCAGGGAAAUGGGAUAUAUCUAUCGGCAUGAAAUGCUCCAUAUGCAAACCCCAAAAGCUAUCUGCUUCCCACUCCAAAGACACCUCUCGAACCUGUGUCACUCUCUUGGCACUUCCACCGUUGUCUCUGAAAGCAGGUGCUAGGGGACACCAGUUACUUAAGAGCGGGUAGCAAUUUCUUACUAUAGCACGGCAGCCAAAGCAGAAGGUGACCCUGAGGGAUUUCAAAACCUAAGCAUGUUGGGAUGGAGGCCAUCAUCCCUCUUGAGGCUGAUCUGGCUCCUUUUUGGAGGAGUUGCAGGAGUGGCAAGGAGAAACAGGUUUCAGUCAGCAGCAAAGAGCUACCCUAGAGGGAUUUUCUACAUGGCUACCAGAUGAUUAUGGGGCUCUUUUGUCCAGAAGAACUGUCAGAGCAGUUCUUUAAGCCUUCACUGUGCUGGGAGUCUCCUGGGCUUCUCCGUUGAGGCACCACAAGCAACCAAUGACUGAGACAGCAGCAACUAGCAGAGAGGGUUUGAAAGCUGCUGCAGGGUGUUGCACAGGGCACUGUAACAUAGGGAAAUGCAACUGGCUUCUGCAAUUACGCAUUCAUGACUCCUGCAGUAGUUCAGGUUAGAAGGCACUUCUGGAGGUCAUCUGAUCACACCCUCUGCAUUACAACGGACCUCUGAAAGUCAGUUGAUCCAACUCUUUGCACAGUGUGGCCAAUCUCUGUACCAGAUCCACUUUCAGAGCCAGAUCAGGGCUUUGAUUUGUAGAGCUGUGAAGAUCACCAAGGCUGGGUGUUACACAAUCUCUGGACAGCAUGUUCCAGGUCUGACCACCCUAAUUGUGAAAAAAAUAUUUCCUAAUAUCUAAUCGUAUUUUCUCCUGCUACAGCUUGUUCUGUUGCUUCUUGCACUUUUGUGGUGCACCUUCAGAACAAAAGCCUUAAUUUUCUAUAUAAUUUCUAAUUAAGUGUUUGAGGAGAUUACACCUGAGAACAUACAAAAUCUUUUGGCUUCUUUCAGUGUGAAAAGGAGAAGCAAUAUCACAUCUUGACCUUGAAAUCCUUCCAUGCUGCUCACAGAUGCACCUGCCACUGGGAUCGGAGCAAGUCAAAUGAUUAUUUCAUAAGCCAAUACAAAUUGUUCUCAGGAAACAGCCAAAGAAGUGCUACAAGAAUCGGAGGAGAAGGCAGCAGCCCAAGAGGGAUUGUGAUCCUCUCAAGCAGCCCAGAGUGGAAGAAACCAAAGACUAACAAGAGGUUUGGGAAUGCAAAAUUAGUGUGGAAUGGGUGCUGCUUUCACAUGGAUGCUUAGAGUGGAGUAUGGGGGAGAACUCCAGGGGAAAAAAAAAAAAAAAAAAAGAGCUGGAAAGAAGCAGUACAGAAAAAGACCAAAGAGAGUAAGUAGAAGACUGGGGCAGAGGGCUGGUAAACACUUGGGUUCCUCAGCUGGCCUAGAACAAUGGUUGGAAGAUGGGUGGACCAGAGAAGGAUUUAAGGCCAAGCUCUGACUUGCAAACAAAAUUCAUGUUUGGAUUUGACCCUGCUGAUUGUCAUGGGUGUUGCUGAGUUUACAGUUUUCCUCGCUGGGGAAGGAACACGUAGGGACAGGAGCAGCAGGGUCAGGUGUGGCUGCUCACUACUUCAGGCUUGGUGUUUCCCUCCCCGUGGACUUUUCUCUGGGAAAGUCCAUUGUUGCUACAGAAUCAUUUACCAUCAUCUUCCUUCUCAUUUUGGUUCAGAGGAUGGAAAACGUGCAGCAAGUCAGAGGGACUUUGAUAUUGGAGUUGGUUAAAUAUGAUUAAUGCUUGGAAUCACGUACAUGCUUAUUUUUAUGUUGUUGAAAUAUGUUGCUUAUCCUGGGACAUGCCCAGCUGCAUUUAUCAGAAGCACUUUCCACUGCUUUUCUUCGGUUUAGCGGUAGGAACUCUAGUAUCAUCUCGGAUUCUACCUCCUACUGCAAAAGGAGAGAAAAUCCCUUUCCUUCCAACACCGUUUUGUCGCUUAGGGUUGCCAGAAGCACAAAUGCAGUUAAUACUAUUGCAUCUUCUCCUUAGAGAAGCUCCAUCUGCUUUUCAAAAGUUAUUAUUGUUAUUAUUCUUAUUUUAACACCAUUCUUUUGAAUACGAAUGCUCAAAGCCAGUUCUCAGGUGCUGAGAUGUAUACAUGCUUGGGGACAGUUAACAGCUUCAUCGCUUUUACAAACAGAUUCUGAUGUUCACACAGAGCUCUGCUGGAAAAAGUGUCAUGGCCAAAAUGAAGGAGGGGAAAAGCCAUGCAAAAGAGGAAAUUGGAAAGGUUUUAUUUCUGCGUUGCGAAGACCUGGGGCAAAUCCAUCAUUAGUGGAGAGGCAGAUGUACAUAGAAGAGAAAGAAAAGCCAGUGAGAUCAGUGAAUACAAGUGAUGGUCUCCAGUGCAGUCAUGGCCACAGCUGUAGUGAGCCAUGGAUAUACACAGGGUAGCUUUAAAUGAGAGCCGGUGCUGCUGCAUAGGUAGUAACAGCACUGUUGGUGGUGUAGCUGUGGGUAGUAAGGGCUGCCAGCAGUCCUGGAGGUUGGCCAGUGAGCUGCAUCUCCACCACCCGAAGAAAUCUUUUCAGGAAGAUGAUCAGAGCCACUCAGGAAGGGAGCAGCAGGAAGGAAUCACAGCAGAGCUGUUUGCUGUUCACAGUGGGUCGGAUGCAUUUCUUAAUUCCCAUAUUUAUGUUCUCCCAUGGUCCUGGCCCCUCUGAACCUACAGACACUGAACCCCCAUGCUAGCCCAGUAUUACUGGUAUGUAUAUCACCAGUACCAGCCUGUGGUACAGCCACCCUAAGGGCUUCCAGGUGGUCCAUGAAUGAGAGCUUUUCCCCCUUCCAGCACUCACAGGGUGAAGGUUGGAAUAACCUCUCCACAAUGAAAAUGAAAUGAAAGAGCCUUCUACCUCCUUCUUACAAGCAGAAUCCCGGCCUAUUAAUCAGGAUGGCUGGAAGGGGGGGUGCAAAGCAGGGGAGAAACAUAUCUUUGUGUCUGCUUGACAACUUUGUAAGAGGCAAUGUUACCAUGGCAAUGGGUGGUCUUUAGCGAGAAGGGGAGUGAGCUAUAGUGUCAGGGUGAGGAGAAGGGGGAGCAGAGCUAAAGGGAGGCAGUUUGAAAGAAGAGGGGGAGAAGGGACUGUGAAGCAGUCAUUUGUGGGUGAUGGCCAGAGAUGUAUGUUUAGAGAUGUACAUUCAACAAAGGGCAGGCAGCUCUGACGGCAAAUCUGGGGGUUGGCAUGGCUUCCUUGAACACAGGCUCUCUCCUGAGCUGCUACAAGAUGGGCACCUCUACAAGGGCCCACAUCUUUCAGAGGGAUCAUCGCCCCUGGCAAAUGGGGCACCAUGCUGAGCCCCUGAAGCUUCUGCCUGGCCUGAAAGCCACCACUUAGAUGUCAGCAGGCUGCUCGCCUCCAUCCUACCCCCAAGUCCCAGCGCAUGUUAGAGGAACCCUGUUGCCCAUCCCAAGACGACCACACACCAUGGCCACCACAUAAGAGUUGGUUGGCAGCAGAAACCAGUUGUCUGGGUUGGAGCCAGAGAGAUACUCCAGCACUGUAGCAAAACAUUGCUGAAAGGCCGUUGCCGCAUGGGAAAGGUCUCCUCCUCCCCACCUCGCUCGGAUGUGGAUGGAGUUCCUCCGGUCUCGUGUUUUUUGCGAGGGGAGGGGCCGGGUGGGCAGAUCGUCUGACAGUCGGAUGAUUGUGUGGUAGGUGGGGAGGAGAGGGAACAAAAGCUGAGCGCUGAAAGCAGAGCGUGACCCACAAGCGCCGAGAAAAACCCAAACCGACGAGUUUCCCGUGAGCUCUGCGGCGGGGCGCAGCCUCUUCCAGGCCUCUGUGUGCGCCAGCGCCGGAGCUGCUCGGCGUUACGGCCAAGCACCUCGGUGCGGGUGACAACAGGGGGAUGCCUGGAGGCCCAGCCAUCCUCCACUCGGGCCCCAAGCCGGGCCGGGCCGCAGGAGGUGCUCAGCCCGGCGGUGCCGGCAGGUGGCAGGGCAGCCCCGCGCCUCGGCCCGGCCUCCGGCGGUGCUGCGGGCGCGGCGUCUCUAUGCGGGGCUGAGGAAGCCCGGCUGCUCCACGCCUCGCCCCGCCGCCCUGCGGGAGGGCUGCUGGCUGCGGGGCACGCAGAGCUCGGAGCUGCUCCGGCCGUGUGCCGGUUCGGUCUUCCUGUGUCGUCAGCCGUGCGACGUGUGGCUGCAGGCGGCGUGAAGCUGGGCCUGGUGGCGGCUGCGGGUGCCCUGCCCCGUGCGUUAUUCCCGGGUAGUCUGCGAGAGAAGGCUGCUCGGGAGAGUGAUGGGCAUUUUUAUUAUUAUUAAUGUCAGCGUGUUCGCACUGAGGUUAGAUUACAGCCCCAUUGUGAGCGGCUCGGAGACAGCCUGUACUCUGGGAACACGCCGUCCGAACAGGAACGGCAGCAGAAAGGGCAGGGAACGAGCAGAGCCGGAGGAGAGGAAGCGCUUUUCCUCCGGUUCAUGCAGCAGAAAACAGACCUCUCGCACCCUCCUCCUGCACCCAUGCAGGCCCCUUAUCCUUUGGACCGCACGGUCCUCUUGUGUAAGUGGAAUAAAUAACCUGUGACUGGCUUUUUUUUUGGUGGUUCAGCAUUUGUAAAUGCUGACCGUUCACCUUUUGGUUAAAGCUAAACUGGCCUUGUUUCCCCAGAGUUUUGACAUAUACAGGGAGCCCAGAGCCCGCUUGGGCCCGCAGAGGCAGUCAUUAACCUGUGGGGUUCCUAGCUGUGCCCUGCUGCCCAUAGGUGCCAGAGCUCUGAUGGAGGAGUGCUGCCCACCCAGGGACUGCUGCAGGCAGCUGAACCAUUCACUCCAGCUUACAAAUCGAUUCCAGAGAUGUUUGAAGGGAGGGAGCUGAGGGGAAGCAAGAUUUGCAGAGGGAACCGGCCUGGCCUUUUUGAAUUCAGCCGCAGAGUUAGUUAACAAAGUUGCAGGUUCUCAGUCUCCUUUGCUCUUUCUUUGCCAACUCUUUUUUUUCUUCCCCCCUCCCUCCCCUCCUUUUCUUUUCCCUUCCUCAAUAUAAAUACCCUGGGGCAGUUUCUUUUCUUUUUGGUAUGAAUGUGAUGAUCUUUCGGGCCUGCGAUUGGCUCCGCGGCUUGUCAUCGGGGACACACCUCCUGGCGAGGGGCCACCGCCUCCCCCCUCUUGUGAAAGCUUCCCCUUGUAACAAGUGAGCGUAAUUACAUCAGUUACUCACUAGAGCACAGACCUGCUUUAAAUUUUGGCCUCUCUCAGCCUGUGAGAAGCUGAAGGACUAGAAAAUGCGGUUUCAAAGGCCUGUAACAUUCUGGGGCGUGCAACUCAAGCUGGGCUUUUCCCUCUCGGGAAUGGAGUCUCCUAGUCACAUGUGAGGAGGAAUGAAUAUCCCUACCAGCCACUGAAAUGGCUAUAAGUUAAGAGAGCAGACAUGCUGCACCAAAAGAGGAUUUCCACUUUGCCAGACCCUGGCCCACUAAAUGAAAAAAAAAUACAUAUCUGAUCCCUUUUGCUUCUAGAGGUGCUGGGAAGGAAGAUGGCUGAGUGAACUGGAGGGGCUGUGAGUGAUCUCUGCAAUAGAGUAAAGCCAGCUAAAAAAGGGCAUCUGCUAACAAAAGAAAGUGUAUUUCAUCCAGCAGCCAUGGACUGCAGGACAGGGUCGGUCGGGCAUUUCAGGGGAAGAGUGGCCCUGAAGAGUGGCAUUUAAUGAGCUGGGUGGACACGACAGUAGCAGUUUGACACCUAUCAGAUGGGUUGGGAUGGGAACUUGCAGUGCUUCUGUGGGCUUGUUCCAGUAAGGGCUGAGUGCGGGUGAAAGCAUUCUACUCAUGCUCCAGAUGGAGGAUUCUCCACUGGGUAAAUCACUGUAGCACAUGGGAAGCCAGUGCUGUCCCUGUUCCACACUGCCAGGGCAGAGCGUGGCCAUUAAAGAGGAAAGUUUCAGUGCAAGGAAGUGAUGUUCUGAGUGAUGAAGAAAACUCACCACUUCUUAUCCCAGGACAUUUGGUCCUUGAGGGACACAGUCAUGCAUGUCGGAGAUGCUACUGCUGCUUGGGGAGCUGGAAGGAUGAAGAUGAGGUGCAAACCAUUUGACUAAAGCUGAGUCCUGAUGUAUAGGCAUUUACUGAGUGUCAGAACUACUGUUCUGACACAAGAUGAAGCUGGGCCUUUUCAAACACGUCUUGCAAUAAUUAUACAAGGAAAGACACCUUUCUCCUCUUGUCCUCCAGCUAUUAUCUAGCACAUAGGUGUUCACUGAGACCAAGCAACUGAACAGAUUCAGCCCUGGUCUAGAUCAAGCAGAGCAGACCUUGAGCUGGCUCUCUCAACUCUCACUGCUUGACUAGUGGAUUGACUGGAACCCUUUUUUCCAUGUCUCUGUCCUUCAGUUCUCCACCUUCCUCCAAAAUCAAAAUAACCACCUGCUUCCUACCCUGCAUCAAAGGGUCUUCUUUCUGGACUUGCCAUCGGAACUGAUGUAACCCUAUGAAAAAUGUAGGUUUUCAUGAGACAGCAUUUUCCCAAGGACAUAAAAAGCUCCUUUGUUUCUCUCAUUAGCUCUCAAAGCAAUUGGUUCAGUGAUGCUGUCUGUGUUUUCUCCCACGGACCUUUUCCUGGAGCUGUCAAGAAGCUUCCUAGGUCAUGGUCCAUUCAAAAGCUGCCAGGAGUUGCAGGAUGCUGCAGACCUGGUCUGAAAACCAGCAAAGAGCAUUACUUCAUUAUUGCGGCACUAGAAAUAUGACAAAUAAUGUUAGGGGCUUUCCAUGGUACCAGCUGUUCUAUCAUUUUCAGUAAGACUGGGAUUUAGGUACCCAAAACUGAGUGUACCCUCUCUGAGAUGUGCUCCAGGGUGCCUGACACCUCUGCUAGUCAGGACUUCCCUGCCCUAUGCAUCCUAUGGGCUGGAGAGCUGGGAUAGAUUGGACAGUGUUUAAGGUCUAGAUAUCUGGCACGGAGGGAGCAGGCAGAACAAUGGGAGUUUGUGGUGCCGGGGACAGGUGCAUCAGCAGGCCACAGAGCAUUUCCACAUUCCCAGAUGUGCUGUCCACCUCUGCCCUGACCUCUGGGCUGGGGUGGGAGUGUUCUCUCCCAGCUUUGCUCUGCAGGAUAUCAAAGCAUAUUGACCCAUUUCCCUUGCCUGUGAAUGUCUACCAAUUCACCUCUCUUAUAUAUGCUUUUCAGGUAAGAUCAAGCGUUCAUUCUUUCUAUUACUAUUCUCCCUGAUGUCCUCUGCAAGCAGUCUAUUGGCGAGUGAUGAAAUUCUUUAUGUAGAAACUGAAAUGUAGGGACCGCAUGGACAAAAUAAUAACGCUAGUCAUAAUAAUAAAUAGCAGCCCCAUUCGCUUUACUCCGCAGCUCGCAAAACAACAGCCCAGUCCAAAUUCUCAUCUGCCGUGGAGAUAAAAGGUGUGAUUUACUCUGUCGGCUGUGGAGAGCAGACACACACAAGGCAGUUAUCUCUGGUCAUAAACAAACUGGAGUGGCUUUGCCUUUUAACAGGCUCCCUUCUCCUCUCCUGAGGAGUGCUACUUUCCUCCUUACGUAACCCUCUGGGCAACUCCACUGACCUAUUUUGUUUUAAUAAACUCGAGCAGUUUGAGUUAUGCGCCCUCCACUUCUCAGACGCCAUUGCCACUCCACAGGGCUCCCUUUCCUGCCCUGCUCCGCAAGGCUGCGUAGGUAAUGUCUUGGGAGAAGUCAAAUAAAUGGCUUCCAUGUUCUGACACAGCCCAUAUGUGCUAAGCUUCCCUUUUGACUGUUAGCCUUGGAAAAGAGAAGGAAAAACUGAGUUGUCUAGGAAAAAGCAUAGCCUUUCAGAAACAGUUUUUUAUUACCUUCCUUAUCAUUCCUUUAAGGCCAUAAAGAUUAUACCAAAGAAACUAUUAAGUUUUCCAGGAUUGCAAAAUAUUUUAUCAAUGAUGCACACGAGGCAUGCCGUUCCACUUUUCAGUUUUCUUUUUGGCAUUAAAUUUCCUUUUAUGUUCAAGGAUUUGAUCUUAAUGUUCCCUCCGUACCUUUCUGUUUCCAUCCUGCUUGGAGGCAGUCAGACAUGGUUAAUGGUUUCUUCUAGCCAGGAGCCUAGAGUGAGCUGCAAAUAGAAGACCUUGCAGGCAUUAAAAAACAAACAAACAAACAAACAGUGAACAUGGGAACUAGAACUGUGGCACCAUGAUUUCUAGAGGGGCUGAGCUUCUGGCAUUCCCUCCUUCAUGGGUCCCAAUGUGGGAAUAAACUUCAGGAGAACAGUGACUGGUGGCACUGGUUUUCUAUAGUGCCUCAUCUGCUUAAGUUCACAUAGGGUAUAUUCUUCCACUAAAAAAAUAUUAUUAAAAUAUAUUCUUUCGCUGAAAAACAUCUGUGAAAACCUAACACUGUAAUGCUUCUAAUGCUUUAAUUCUGGGAUCUGGGCUGAAAUUGCUGCAUACUGGUGUAUCCACCAGGUUAUCCUGGGAAACAACUAGGGCUCAAAUGCAGCAGCAGGCUGUUUGAGAUUCUCUUCCCCACAUGCUACAGUGGAGGAGCAGAUUAGUGUCCUGCUCGUAAUGAGUCCCUUACAAAUCCCAUUCUGGAAAAGGAUAUCCAGAGCUUUGGGAGAAACUCUGCAAAGAGUCUCAUGAGAGGCCCAAUUCUUCACACUGGGAAGUGCUGUGGGUGGACUGCAAAGCUCUACUGGAUAUUGAGUUAAUCCAAGAUUUACAUGCCAUAAGCCUGCAAAAUUGGGCUGUGGUGGGCUUUAGCUAAAGCAGUGUUAGCUAACCUCUUAAGAAACCCAAUUUUUCUCUACCUUGCAGUCUUUCCAAUGGGUCUUGUUUUCCAGGUCCUGAUCUUCAGCUGGCAGAACACAGCUUCAUCCCACUGAAAAGCCAGUGGAGCAGAUAGGAGGAUCUUAACCUGGCACAAUUCUGUUUCCUGAUGACAUUCUUGUUUCCACCAGGCAGGACAAUGAACCAAACACUAGCAAUGGAAGAAUAGCAGAUAGAUGACUGGCACAAAGAUCCUCCAUUCACCUCUCCUGUAGCAUUUACUAUGAACAGAAUCCAGAGCAGGGAGGUGAGACUUCGGUGGUGUUGGCACAAAGAAGACAGGAGUCUUAACUCAAGCUGAGUUGCAGUGGAAAAACUUUUAUCAUGGAAGUGCCAAGUAUAAAUCUCUAUCUGAGACUCCACAGUUGAGACACUUCAGAAACAGGACUGUAAUACCAACUGAAAUAUAACAGCGGUAUUAUAGCCAUGUACAUCACAGUGUGCCAACCUUUUCCAUAGUGUCCCACGUGGAGAAGCUUCCCUUUUCCUACAGGAUCAGACCUCCUGCCUGGGGUGGGCAGAGUGGUUGGGAGCAUGGGACCUCUGAGCGCAGGUGCCUUGCCAAUCUGAGCAGAUAUCUCAGCAUCAAUUUAGGCAAUGCUCAUAUUUUCCAGGUUCUUUCUCCUGUAAUGCAACAGUAUGGAAAGACCCCAUGACUAGAACAUGAAAAACAGGUGAAGGAGGGAGCUGCUGGGUGAGCUUACAAAAUAUGUAAGGAAAAACAGUCUCUUGGAUAGUGCCUUGUGAUGCUAAAGGCACCCACAGUCUUUUAAUGGCAGCUUAAAGGAAUCUGCUCACUGGGCAGGAAGGAAAGGCCUGAACUGUUCUCAGCUCUCCAACUCAGACAACAGAAAGUAUCAAUUACAAACUUUAAAUUCAUUUUUAAUUCUUUUUUCUCUUUUGAAAGAAAAUGGAAAAGAAAUGUGAAGCAGUGGCAGUCUGUGUCGGGGAAUGAAUUCUAGUAUAUUUGAUAAAAAAAGCUUCUUUUUGUUUUGUUUGAAGUGUCAAAUAACACAUGCUUCCUGCCAAAGCUUUUCAGAAAGUUGAACCAAACCACUGCCUUAGCAUCUGGAACUAAAGCUUGGUAAGUGCUAAACCCACUUUUGACUACUACAACUCUUCCGUGAGUAGGAGACGAUGACUGUUUGUCCAUUUCAGUUUAUUCAAAGACUUAGAUUCAGUGGCUUGUUCCUUCAGCAUUGAGAAACUGUAUGAGGUUUGGAGAAAGCAGACAAGCUUGUUUUUCCCCUCUGGUUUACAAGGAAAAUAAGGAUGAGAGGACAAGAUCCAGCAGAUCCGAAAUGUUGGGGUAUAUGGUGUCCCGGAACAACCUGUUUAACCCACCAGCCACUGACAGUACUUCCUUUGUUUACUAGUACUUUUUCUUCUCUGUUUUGCGAUUAAUGUGGUUUAUUUAAGUAAUAAAAAUUUAAGAGUUCAAUAAAAAAUGGUUUUAGACUUC